GACGAACGCUGGCGGCGUGCUUAACACACGCAAGUCGAACGGUAAGGCCCUUCGGGGUACACGAGUGGCGAACGGGUGAGUAACACGUGGGUGAUCUGCCCUGCACUUCGGGAUAAGCCUGGGAAACUGGGUCUAAUACCGGAUAGGACCACUGCCUGCAUGGGUGGUGGUGGAAAGCUUUUGCGGUGUGGGAUGGGCCCGCGGCCUAUCAGCUUGUUGGUGGGGUGAUGGCCUACCAAGGCGACGACGGGUAGCCGGCCUGCGAGGGGGACCGGCCACACUGGGACUGAGAUACGGCCCAGACUCCGACGGGAGGCAGCAGUGGGGAAUAUUGCACAAUGGGCGCAAGCCUGAUGCAGCGACGCCGCGUGAGGGAUGACGGCCUUCGGGUUGUAAACCUCUUUCAGCACCGACGAAGCGCAAGUGACGGUAGGUGCAGAAGAAGGACCGGCCAACUACGUGCCAGCCGCCGCGGUAA
rnacentral:rRNA from 1 species